rnacentral:rRNA from 1 species
AUUGAACGCUGGCGGCAGGCCUAACACAUGCAAGUCGAACGGUAACAGGAAGACGCUUGCUUCUUUGCUGACGAGUGGCGGACGGGUGAGUAAUGUCUGGGAAACUGCCUGAUGGAGGGGGAUAACUACUGGAAACGGUAGCUAAUACCGCAUAACGUCGCAAGACCAAAGAGGGGGACCUUCGGGCCUCUUGCCAUCGGAUGUGCCCAGAUGGGAUUAGCUAGUAGGUGGGGUAACGGCUCACCUAGGCGACGAUCCCUAGCUGGUCUGAGAGGAUGACCAGCCACACGGGAACUGAGACACGGUCCAGACUCCUGAGGGAGGCAGCAGAGGGGAAUAUUGCACAAUGGGGGCAAGCCUGAUGCAGCGAGGCCGCGUGUAUGAAGAAGGCCUUGGGGUUGUAAAGUACUUUCAGCGGGGAGGAAGGGAGUAAAGUUAAUACCUUUACUCAUUGACGGUACCCGCAGAAGAAGCACCGGCUAACUCCGUG